CCUACGGGGUGCUGCAGUGGGGGAUAUUGCACAAUGGGGGGAACCCUGAUGCAGCGACGCCGCGUGGGUGAAGAAGCGCCUCGGCGCGUACAGCCCUGUCAGCAGGGAAGAAAAUGACGGUACCUGAAGAAGAAGCCCCGGCUAACUACGUGCCAGCAGCCGCGGUAAUACGUAGGGGGCAAGCGUUAUCCGGAUUUACUGGGGGUAAAGGGGGCGCAGACGGCGAUGCAAGCCAGGAGUGAAAGCCCGGGGACCAACCCCGGGACUGCUCUUGGAACUGCGGGGCUGGAGUGCAGGAGGGGCAGGCGGAAUUCCUGGUGUAGCGGUGAAAUGCGGAGAUAUCAGGAGGAACACCGGUGGCGAAGGCGGCCUGCUGGACUGCAACUGACGUUGAGGCCCGAAAGCGUGGGGAGCAAACAGGAUUAGAUACCCUAGUAGUC
rnacentral:rRNA from 1 species